UGCAACGCGAAAAACCUUACCCACCUUUGACAUGUACGGAAUCCUUUAGAGAUAGAGGAGUGCUCGAAAGAGAGCCGUAACACAGGUGCUGCAUGGCUGUCGUCAGCUCGUGUCGUGAGAUGUUGGGUUAAGUCCCGCAACGAGCGCAACCCUUGUCAUUAGUUGCUACAUUCAGUUGGGCACUCUAAUGAGACUGCCGGUGACAAACCGGAGGAAGGUGGGGAUGACGUCAAGUCCUCAUGGCCCUUAUAGGUGGGGCUACACACGUCAUACAAUGGAUGGUACAAAGGGUCGCCAACCCGCGAGGGGGAGCCAAUCCCAUAAAGCCAUUCGUAGUCCGGAUCGCAGUCUGCAACUCGACUGCGUGAAGUCGGAAUCGCUAGUAAUCGUGGAUCAGAAUGUCACGGUGAAUACGUUCCCGGGUCUUGUACACACCGCCCGUCACACCAUGGGAGCGGGUUCUGCCAGAAGUAGUUAGCCUAACCGCAAGGAGGGCGAUUACCACGGCAGGGUUCGUGACUGGGGUGAAGUCGUAACAAGGUAGCCGUAUCGGAAGG
rnacentral:rRNA from 1 species